rnacentral:rRNA from 1 species
UGAACGCUAGCGACAGGCUUAACACAUGCAAGUCGAGGGGCAGCAUAAAAGUAGCAAUACUUGGUGGCGACCGGCGCACGGGUGAGUAACGCGUAUGCAACCUACCUAUCAGAGGGGAAUAACCCGGCGAAAGUCGGACUAAUACCGCAUAAAACAGGGGCACCGCAUGGUGAUACUUGUUAAAGAAAUUCGCUGAUAGAUGGGCAUGCGUUCCAUUAGGUAGUUGGUGAGGUAACGGCUCACCAAGCCGACGAUGGAUAGGGGAACUGAGAGGUUGGUCCCCCACACUGGUACUGAGACACGGACCAGACUCCUACGGGAGGCAGCAGUGAGGAAUAUUGGUCAAUGGGCGGGAGCCUGAACCAGCCAAGUCGCGUGAAGGAAAAGAAGGAUCUAUGGUUCGUAAACUUCUUUUGCAGGGGAAUAAAGUGCAGGACGUGUCCUGUUUUGUAUGUACCCUGAGAAUAAGGAUCGGCUAACUCCGUGCCAGCAGCUGC